rnacentral:lncRNA from 10 species
GCACAAAGAAAACAAGAACAUCUGGUUUCCCAUCCCGAGGUGAAUCAGAGGCUAAGCAUGCAUAGGAAGUAAUAAUCGCUUCUAACAUUUGCAUUUGUUCAGGAUAUUACAGCUCACAGAAAUGUUCGCCAGAGCGUUCUUUUGUUUAAUCCUCAGGACGAUCCCUGAAUGUGAAAAUUUUCAUCCCCAUUUACAGGUACAAGAGUGGUAAGCAGCAACCUAAAACAGGAACGGGCUCCAUUCAGGGUGAAGAUGGGAGGGCCUUGCCCCAGCAUUGACCGUGUGGAUUAACCUCCUGUAACUCAUACAGUUCACAGACUCCUCUCCUGCACAGACACCCGCAGCACAGCCACUUGCAUUUGAAACCCACCAGGUUCCAGGAAAGGCUUGUGACCGACAGGUCAGUGCGCUAAAGCUGUGAGCCAACAACAGGGACUUCCACUUCUGCUUUCCGAGAUCAAGCUGUCUCGGGAAAAUGCUGACGCGUCUCCACUUCUCUUCCUGUCUCUGUCUUCCUGUUGAUCUGUGUGUGCUUUUAUAGCUUUAUCACUUAACACUUGUUCCACUUCAUCCCAAAAGAAUAAAGGAGAUGAGUAACGAAUUCAGACAACCUGCUAGUCCCAAUUCAGUUGAACCCCUCUUAAGGCAGCCAAGAGUAAAAAUCUCAGAUUUUAAAAGAUGAUGGGCACAUUAUGAAGUGAUUAUUCACACUACAAAACAGUUUUUAGAACCCAGAAUGAUAAAGCUGAAAAGGGAUCUUAG